AACAGCUUCUAUCUCAAGGCCAUCAGACUGUUAAACAGCCACCACUAACAUUGAGUGGCUACUGCCAACACACUGUCAAUGACACUGACUCUACUCCAGCCACUUUAAUCAUGGGAAUUGAUGGGAAAUGAUCUGAAGGAGCGGACCCAUCCCAGUCUGUUGAGGUGUGUGAGACAGUGUUUUACAAGGCCUUGACCAGGAUGCUGGUUGCUGGUAUCCUGUCCAGUGGUACUACAACAGAGAUAGUACAGUACUACCAUAAAAAGACUCUGAGGCUGAUCCGGCGGGCCGUGCGACCAGACAGGGAGGACGGGGACCAUGUUCUCACCUACUACACCAAGGGAGCUCAUCUCAUAGGCCUGAAGAGCAACCAGCUCCUCAAGUACAUCCAGCCAGUGGAGACAAUUGCCCAGAGCCAGAAGAAGAAGGACAGCGCGUACUUGAGGCGUCCCAGCCUUAUCGUGGCCUACAUCUCCUGGGACCCCCGACGCAUGUUUUGAUGUGCAGAGACAAUUGCCCAGAGCCAGAAGAAGAAGGACAGCCCGUACUUGAGGCGUCCCAGCCUUAUCGUGGCCUACACCUCCUGGAACCCUGCACAGAGGGCCAAAAUGAUCUGCAUGAAGUCUGUCAAGACCGGGAAGACCAUUGAGAAUGAGGAUCGCAUCAGACAAUCAAUCAAGCACCAUGGGAUGGAGAAAAUGGAGACGAUCACACCUGUGAAGAUGAAGGUGAACCAGUCCAUGAAGGAGAGGGACCACCUCACUUACAAUGAGAUCAACCAGAUAAAGCUGAAGUCCAGUCUAAAUCAAGUCUGAAGGAGUACCUGAAGGACCUGACCCAGCUGAAGCGUAGGGACAUGUGGAACUCCUGGGGCUCCCUUCAGUGUUACUGUGCCUUCCACAGCCAGAAGGACUUCCCCAAAACCUUCACCACCAACUCCUGGUCCUGGAGUGGCUGAUGGAGACUGGAGACCUGGACGCUCCCUGUAGGUCCACACUACGCCUGCAUAUAGC
ensembl:lncRNA